AUUGAACGCUGGCGGCAUGCCUAACACAUGCAAGUCGAGCGGAAGAAUGGAGCUUGCUGCCGGAUGCAGCGGUGGACGGGGGAGUAAUGCCUAUGAAUCUGCCUGGUAGCGGGGGAUGACGUCCUGAAACGGGCGCUUAUACCGCGUACGUCCUGUGGGCGAAAGUGGGUGAGCUUCGGACGUCAUGCUAUCUGAUGAGCGUAGAUCGGUUUAGCUAGGUGGUGGGGUAAAGGCCUACCAAGGCUACGAUGCGUAACUGGUCUGAAAGCAUGGUCAGGUACCCUGGAACUGAGACACGUUCCCGACUCUUACGCUAGGACGCAGUGGGGAAUACUGGACGAAGGGCGAGUGCCUGAUCCAGCCAUGCCGCGUGUGUGAAGAAGGUCUUCGGCUUGUAAAGCACUUUAAGUUGGGGGGAAGUGAAGUACGUUUAUACCUUGCUAUUUUGACGGUACCAAGAGAAUAAGCACCGGCUAACUUCGUG
rnacentral:rRNA from 1 species